rnacentral:rRNA from 1 species
UAAGGAAUAUUGGUCAAUGGACGCAAGUCUGAACCAGCCAUGCCGCGUGAAGGAUGAAGGUCCUCUGGAUUGUAAACUUCUUUUAUCUGGGACGAAAACGGGAUUUUUAUCUCAAUUGACGGUACCAGAGGAAUAAGCACCGGCUAACUCCGUGCCAGCAGCCGCGGUAAUACGGAGGGUGCGAGCGUUAUCCGGAUUUACUGGGUUUAAAGGGUGCGUAGGUGGGCUUAUAAGUCAGUGGUGAAAUCUCCGAGCUUAACUUGGAAACUGCCGUUGAUACUAUAGGUCUUGAAUUAUCUGGAGGUCAGCGGAAUAGGACAUGUAGCGGUGAAAUGCUUAGACAUGACAUAGAGCACCAAUUGCGAAGGCAGCUUACUACAUAUAAAUUGACGCUGAGGCACGAAAGCGUGGGGAUCAAACA